CCCCCUGCAGGGUAGCCGAGCUCCGGAAUAUUCUUCUCCCUCUGGACGCCCCUGCUCAGGUCUGCGACCCCCGUCCCGCACUGUGCGGACCCAGCCGCGCUGAGACGUCCCCGGGAGGACGGAGCCGUCCAGUUGCCUGGAAAGGGCUGACGGCAGACACAGCCCCGGUCGGUCGGGGAGCGGGUCCCCGGCCAGCUGGUGAGGGAUGGGCCGGCGCCAGGUAAUUACUGCGGGUGCAGAGGUCGCCGCCGCCGAGCCCGCGCGCACUAAUCAACACAAACAGGACAUCUGUGUUCAGGAGCGCAGCAAACCAGGCAACCGACGCCGGGAGUUUCUGCGCCCCGAGAGCGAGAGCAAGAGCGCCCCCCCCUCCACCUGGGAGGCCUCGCAACUCCUCUGGUCCUGGGGGAACGGGGAGCUGGAGGUCUCCUCUGCUCUCAGCUUGUCGGAGCCAGGACUUUCCAACGUGGUGGUGGGGCCGUCGGAAGCCACGGGGGCCACGGAGUUAAGACCUGUUAGCGCGUGAGGGGUGAUGCCAGGAAGCCGGUGCCCUCAGACCUACCAUUCCCGCUGCACAGCCUCAGCCACACGCCUGAUGCCCAGGGUCUACCCACCCAGCGCCCUGGCUGGCAGCUCCGCAGGCUCCUUCUCCAGGCGCCCUCAGGCCUCAGGCUGCGAGCCGUCCAGGGCGGGGCCACCUCCAGGGCCCAGGGCCCGAGGCCAGCACAAGCCCCCGCACAGGCCGGGACCCGUGGAUGGUGAACGGAUGAGCGAGUGGCUAUUUUGGGGGCAGUUUUAUCCGGAACCGUCUUAGGAUGUGAUGCCCACCCUGGACCAGCAGAGGCCUUCCACCUGCGACUCUCGGAGGACAGACGCCUAGAAGACCCAGAGGUCUAAGGUCAUGCAGGGAGGGUUACACAUCCCCUGCCCCUGCCAUCUGACUUGCAGUGCCUCCUCUGGGAGGGGUUUGCUGCCCUGCUCACUGACCUUGAGCUUGGCACGGGAUUCGCUUCCGUCAGUGGCCUGUGAGCUGACGUGAUGGGAGUCAUGACUGAGCGGAAGUGUGAGGAGCUUUAACGUCAGGGGUUCGCACCAACUCGGGUCCUCCUUUCCCUCUGGAAGUGUCACAAACAGAGGCUAGAUCUGAAAAUAAAGGAGACACAUGGGAUAGAAAUAAAGAAGACACACGGAACAGAGCCGCAGCUCACCGGAAGGCUACAUGAGAUAAAUUCGAGAGCUGACUGCUCGCCGCUCCGCACUUUCGAUGAAGAAUGGUCCGAUGAUGACUCCAGCCCCAAAUCCGCACCGAACAGUGACACAUUGUGGAUGCAUUUGUUUCUCAACAAUCACUCGCGGAUUUCCUGAACCCUAAAUGUGACAAUGUUGUCGAUUAACCAAGCCAUCAAGAUGAAAAUGAGCCUCAUUGAAAUUCAGCCACAUUUAUGCAAAACGGUCAUGGAAAAUUUCAA